GAAGAAGAAGCACCCAAACAAAAAAAUAUCAAUGGAUACAACGAGGUUCUGGUGGAUUUCUAUGGCCGUAUAAGGGGAUUUUAAAUAAGGGAUCAUGUUGGCUGCCUUGGGCCUAUAUAAAAAAAACUUGAUGGCCGAUUCUGAAAGAUGGCGGAUCGAAGCAGAAUGAAAUGGUUUUGUUCCAGAUGGGCCAGUGGACUAGGGAUUAAGGUGGUUCCGGGAAUUUAAGCUAAUAAAAUUCAAUUGGACCUGGGAUUUGGCCUUGGUUGCUGCUUCCGUUCAGGAAAGGUUAUAAAUUCAGAUUGGACCUGGACCGGAAGCUUGAAUGCGGUAUAUGACCCCAAUUAUUAUUCUAAAACGUUGAAUCAUCAAAUUUUGGUUCCUGAAGAAAAUCAACAAUACCAGCCAACUGUAAGAUCGAGAGGAAAAUUUCUCCAAUCAACGAAAAUUUUAAUCGCUUUAGUUUUAGGUUUGGAUUGAGGUUUAACUAUAUGCACUCAAAUUUAUGCUUGCGUUUCAAAAGUUCAUAAUUUCGCUCGGGGAUAAACCGGAUCUGGCAAUUCUUUUUCUGCGGCAACUAGCUGGUUUACGGGAGGCAAUUAUAGAGCGGGAAGAGUUCUUUUGGCUGAUGAGGCUUUCCUGUCCGUCCGUAUUAGAGUCCGUUCGGAUAAACCAGGUUUUUUGUUAUAAAUAUAUAUGGCUAAGACCACCUGAGAUCUCAAAAUCACGCGUUACUUUGUAAGAGGCCUGAGCUCAACCCUGUUCGCGCACGUUUGGAAAAAAAACGCAAACGAAAUGGAUUCGAUACGAUGAAUGAUAGAAAAUUAUUUAAAAAGGACACUCGUCCGGUCCGUCUUGUCGUCCGGGUGCAAACUCACAGAAGGUCGGAAAACCAAAAAUUAUACCAGAGCACCCCAGGCGUGGUGGUGCUGGAAAACAGCUUCUCCCUCGUUGGAUGGAGUCGGUGUUGAA